rnacentral:rRNA from 1 species
UACGUAGGGGGCAAGCGUUGUCCGGAAUUAUUGGGCGUAAAGCGCGCGCAGGCGGCCAUGUAAGUCUGGUGUUUAAACCCGGGGCUCAACCUCGGAUCGCAUCGGAAACUGUGUGGCUUGAGUGCAGAAGAGGAGAGUGGAAUUCCACGUGUAGCGGUGAAAUGCGUAGAGAUGUGGAGGAACACCAGUGGCGAAGGCGACUCUCUGGUCUGUAACUGACGCUGAGGCGCGAAAGCGUGGGGAGCAAACAGG